ACGCGUGGAACCUUACCAGGUCUUGACAUCCUCUGACACUCCUAGAGAUAGGACGUUCCCCUUCGGGGGACAGAGUGACAGGUGGUGCAUGGUUGUCGUCAGCUCGUGUCGUGAGAUGUUGGGUUAAGUCCCGCAACGAGCGCAACCCUUGAUCUUAGUUGCCAGCAUUAAGUUGGGCACUCUAAGGUGACUGCCGGUGACAAACCGGAGGAAGGUGGGGAUGACGUCAAAUCAUCAUGCCCCUUAUGACCUGGGCUACACACGUGCUACAAUGGAUGGUACAAAGGGCAGCAAAACCGCGAGGUCGAGCAAAUCCCAUAAAACCAUUCUCAGUUCGGAUUGUAGGCUGCAACUCGCCUACAUGAAGCUGGAAUCGCUAGUAAUCGCGGAUCAGCAUGCCGCGGUGAAUACGUUCCCGGGCCUUGCACACACCGCCCGU
rnacentral:rRNA from 1 species